UAGGGAAUCUUCGGCAAUGGGGGCAACCCUGACCGAGCAACGCCGCGUGAGUGAAGAAGGUUUUCGGAUCGUAAAGCUCUGUUGUAAGAGAAGAACGUGUGUGAGAGUGGAAAGUUCACACAGUGACGGUAACUUACCAGAAAGGGACGGCUAACUACGUGCCAGCAGCCGCGGUAAUACGUAGGUCCCGAGCGUUGUCCGGAUUUAUUGGGCGUAAAGCGAGCGCAGGCGGUUUAAUAAGUCUGAAGUUAAAGGCAGUGGCUUAACCAUUGUUCGCUUUGGAAUCUGUUAAACUUGAGUGCAGAAGGGGAGUGUGGAAUUCCAUGUGUAGCGGUGAAAUGCGUAGAUAUAUGGAGGAACACCGGUGGCGAAAGCGGCUCUCUGGUCUGUAACUGACGCUGAGGCUCGAAAGCGUGGGGAGCAAACAGG
rnacentral:rRNA from 1 species